GAGAAAUUCCGUCGGAAUCCGCGGGGACCAUCCCGCAAGGCUAAAUACUCCCUAGUGACCGAUAGUGAACCAGUACCGUGAGGGAAAGGUGAAAAGCACCCCGGAAGGGGAGUGAAAUAGAUCCUGAAACCGUGUGCCUACAACAAGUCAAAGCUCGUUAAUGAGUGAUGGCGUGCCUUUUGUAGAAUGAACCGGCGAGUUACGAUUGCAUGCGAGGUUAAGUCGAAGAGACGGAGCCGCAGCGAAAGCGAGUCUGAAUAGGGCGAAUGAGUAUGUAGUCGUAGACCCGAAACCAUGUGAUCUACCCAUGUCCAGGUUGAAGGUGCGGUAAAACGCACUGGAGGACCGAACCCACGUACGUUGAAAAGUGCGGGGAUGAGGUGUGGGUAGCGGAGAAAUUCCAAACGAACUUGGAGAUAGCUGGUUCUCUCCGAAAUAGCUUUAGGGCUAGCCUCGGAAUUGAGAAUGAUGGAGGUAGAGCACUGUUUGGACUAGGGGCCCAUCUCGGGUUACCGAAUUCAGAUAAACUCCGAAUGCCAUUCAUUUAUAUCCGGGAGUCAGACUGCGAGUGAUAAGAUCCGUAGUCGAAAGGGAAACAGCCCAGACCACCAGCUAAGGUCCCAAAAUAUAUGUUAAGUGGAAAAGGAUGUGGGGUUGCACAGACAACUAGGAUGUUGGCUUAGAAGCAGCCACCAUUUAAAGAGUGCGUAAUAGCUCACUAGUCGAGUGACCCUGCGCCGAAAAUGUACCGGGGCUAAACAUAUUACCGAAGCUGUGGACUACACCAUUAGGUGUAGUGGUAGGAGAGCGUUCUAAGGGCGUUGAAGGUCGAUCGUGAGGACGGCUGGAGCGCUUAGAAGUGAGAAUGCCGGUAUGAGUAGCGAAAGACAGGUGAGAAUCCUGUCCACCGUAUGACUAAGGUUUCCUGGGGAAGGCUCGUCCGCCCAGGGUUAGUCGGGACCUAAGCCGAGGCCGAUAGGCGUAGGCGAUGGACAACAGGUUGAUAUUCCUGUACCAGUUGUUUUUGUUUGAGCAAUGGAGGGACGCAGUAGGCUAAGGAAUGCAUGCGAUUGGAAGUGCAUGUCCAAGCAAUGAGUCUUGAG
rnacentral:rRNA from 1 species